AGUCAAGUAAUUAAGUGCAUGUGGUGGAUGCCUUGGCAGUCAGAGGCGAUGAAAGACGUGAUAGCCUGCGAAAAGCUCCGGGGAGGCGGCAAAUAUCCUUUGAUCCGGAGAUGUCUGAAUGGGGGAACCCACCUACUUUAAGGUAGGUAUUGCAACAUGAAUACAUAGUGUUGCAAGGCGAACGAGGGGAAGUGAAACAUCUCAGUACCCUUAGGAAAAGAAAUCAAUUGAGAUUCCCUCAGUAGCGGCGAGCGAACGGGGAUCAGCCCAUUAAGUUAUGUGUGUUUUAGUGGAACGCUCUGGGAAGUGCGAACGUAGAGGGUGAUAUUCCCGUACACGAAAGGGCACACAUAAUGAUGACGAGUAGGGCGAGGCACGUGAAACCUUGUCUGAAUAUGGGGGGACCAUCCUCCAAGGCUAAAUACUCCUGACUGACCGAUAGUGAACCAGUACCGUGAGGGAAAGGCGAAAAGAACCCCUGUGAGGGGAGUGAAAUAGAUCCUGAAACCGCAUGCAUACAAGCAGUGGGAGCACCUUCGUGGUGUGACUGCGUACCUUUUGUAUAAUGGGUCAGCGACUUAUAUUCAGUAGCGAGGUUAACCGUAUAGGGGAGCCGUAGAGAAAUCGAGUCUUAAUAGGGCGUUUAGUUGCUGGGUAUAGACCCGAAACCAGGCGAUCUAUCCAUGAGCAGGUUGAAGGUUGGGUAACACUAACUGGAGGACCGAACCCACUGUCGUUGAAAAGCCAGGGGAUGACUUGUGGAUAGGGGUGAAAGGCUAAUCAAGCCUGGUGAUAGCUGGUUCUCCCCGAAAGCUAUUUAGGUAG
rnacentral:rRNA from 1 species